rnacentral:rRNA from 1 species
AUUGAACGCUGGCGGCAGGCCUAACACAUGCAAGUCGAGCGGAUGAGAAGAGCUUGCUCUUCGAUUCAGCGGCGGACGGGUGAGUAAUGCCUAGGAAUCUGCCUGGUAGUGGGGGACAACGUUUCGAAAGGAACGCUAAUACCGCAUACGUCCUACGGGAGAAAGCAGGGGACCUUCGGGCCUUGCGCUAUCAGAUGAGCCUAGGUCGGAUUAGCUUGUUGGUGAGGUAAUGGCUCACCAAGGCGACGAUCCGUAACUGGUCUGAGAGGAUGAUCAGUCACACUGGAACUGAGACACGGUCCAGACUCCUACGGGAGGCAGCAGUGGGGAAUAUUGGACAAUGGGCGAAAGCCUGAUCCAGCCAUGCCGCGUGUGUGAAGAAGGUCUUCGGAUUGUAAAGCACUUUAAGUUGGGAGGAAGGGCAGCUAGCGAAUACCUGGUUGUUUUGACGUUACCGACGGAAUAAGCACCGGCUAACUCUGUGCCAGCCGCCGCGGUAA